CCUACGGGAGGCAGCAGUGGGGAAUUUUGGACAAUGGGCGCAAGCCUGAUCCAGCAAUGCCGCGUGAGUGAAGAAGGCCUUCGGGUUGUAAAGCUCUUUUGUCAGGGAAGAAAAGGUAGCUCCUAAUACGGGCUGCUCAUGACGGUACCUGAAGAAUAAGCACCGGCUAACUACGUGCCAGCAGCCGCGGUAAUACGUAGGGUGCAAGCGUUAAUCGGAAUUACUGGGCGUAAAGCGUGCGCAGGCGGUUAUAUAAGUCAGCUGUGAAAUCCCCGGGCUCAACCUGGGAACUGCAGUUGAGACUGUAUGGCUAGAGUGUGUCAGAGGGGGGUAGAAUUCCACGUGUAGCAGUGAAAUGCGUAGAUAUGUGGAGGAAUACCGAUGGCGAAGGCAGCCCCCUGGGAUAACACUGACGCUCAUGCACGAAAGCGUGGGGAGCAAACAGGAUUAGAUACCCUGGUAGUCCACGCCCUAAACGAUGUCUACUAGUUGUUGGGUCUUAAUUGACUUAGUAACGCAGCUAACGCGUGAAGUAGACCGCCUGGGGAGUACGGUCGCAAGAUUAAAACCUUAAAGGAAUUGACGGCUGAGACGNGCGACGGACGACGACGAGGGAGGAGG
rnacentral:rRNA from 1 species